CAGAGCGGCCGGAUCUGCCGGUGAGGAGGCUGGAGUCACCGGAUCCGGCGGUCCCAGCCUCCUCGUUGGCGGAUGCGGCGGCAGGA
rnacentral:pre_miRNA from 1 species